rnacentral:rRNA from 1 species
GUGAGUAACACGUGGGUAACCUGCCCAUCAGAAGGGGAUAACACUUGGAAACAGGUGCUAAUACCGUAUAACAAUCGAAACCGCAUGGUUUUGAUUUGAAAGGCGCUUUCGGGUGUCGCUGAUGGAUGGACCCGCGGUGCAUUAGCUAGUUGGUGAGGUAACGGCUCACCAAGGCCACGAUGCAUAGCCGACCUGAGAGGGUGAUCGGCCACAUUGGGACUGAGACACGGCCCAAACUCCUACGGGAGGCAGCAGUAGGGAAUCUUCGGCAAUGGACGAAAGUCUGACCGAGCAACGCCGCGUGAGUGAAGAAGGUUUUCGGAUCGUAAAACUCUGUUGUUAGAGAAGAACAAGGAUGAGAGUAACUGUUCAUCCCUUGACGGUAUCUAACCAGAAAGCCACGGCUAACUACGUGCCAGCAGCCGCGGUAAUACGUAGGUGGCAAGCGUUGUCCGGAUUUAUUGGGCGUAAAGCGAGCGCAGGCGGUUUCUUAAGUCUGAUGUGAAAGCCCCCGGCUCAACCGGGGAGGGUCAUUGGAAACUGGGAGACUUGAGUGCAGAAGAGGAGAGUGGAAUUCCAUGUGUAGCGGUGAAAUGCGUAGAUAUAUGGAGGAACACCAGUGGCGAAGGCGGCUCUCUGGUCUGUAACUGACGCUGAGGCUCGAAAGCGUGGGGAGCAAACAGGAUUAGAUACCCUGGUAGUCCACGCCGUAAACGAUGAGUGCUAAGUGUUGGAGGGUUUCCGCCCUUCAGUGCUGCAGCUAACGCAUUAAGCACUCCGCCUGGGGAGUACGACCGCAAGGUUGAAACUCAAAGGAAUUGACGGGGGCCCGCACAAGCGGUGGAGCAUGUGGUUUAAUUCGAAGCAACGCGAAGAACCUUACCAGGUCUUGACAUCCUUUGACCACUCUAGAGAUAGAGCUUCCCCUUCGGGGGCAAAGUGACAGGUGGUGCAUGGUUGUCGUCAGCUCGUGUCGUGAGAUGUUGGGUUAAGUCCCGCAACGAGCGCAACCCUUAUUGUUAGUUGCCAUCAUUCAGUUGGGCACUCUAGCAAGACUGCCGGUGACAAACCGGAGGAAGGUGGGGAUGACGUCAAAUCAUCAUGCCCCUUAUGACCUGGGCUACACACGUGCUACAAUGGGAAGUACAACGAGUUGCGAAGUCGCGAGGCUAAGCUAAUCUCUUAAAGCUUCUCUCAGUUCGGAUUGCAGGCUGCAACUCGCCUGCAUGAAGCCGGAAUCGCUAGUAAUCGCGGAUCAGCACGCCGCGGUGAAUACGUUCCC